rnacentral:lncRNA from 1 species
ACCAAAACCCAGAAAGUCUUAACCAUGGUGCACUUUUGCUUAUUGGAAUACUACAGUUUCAGUACCUGAACAUCACGAGGUACUCCAUGCCAGAGAGGAUGCUGAGCUUUUUACAUGCCGUGAAUCUUCAAAAACAGCAUCUUUCUCAGCUACUUCCUGUUCUGCACUAAGUCUCCGUAUGGCCCUAAGAUGCUGGAAAUUAUUUUUGAAGGGUCAUAAAGGCCCCAAAAAAGCAGCAAGAGGGUAAAUUGACAAUAUUACAGGAAAAUGGACACCGGCUACAGUACCCAAAUACCCAAGGUCAGGUAAGACAGGUGCCACGCCCUGAGAGCAAGGACUCACCCUCCACGUUCUCUACUCACUCUACCCCAUAGCUGCAGAAGUUCAUCCGGGGAACACAGGCCAAUAGCCAAUCAGCAGCUAGUCUUCCUCUGGCCCCAGUGAUUGGCUCAAGGUUCAGCACAUGACCCCAGCUAGACCAAUCAGACCAGGCUGUCUGUAACCACACACCCUAACCCAAAGCCCUUGACAGGCCCAAGUGACACCCUCACCACCGCUCGUGACCCAGGACUCUUGUUCAGUUUGUGGUGAAGAAACCAAAGCCCAGGAAGCCAAGGGGCUGGACUCCAAUUUAGGUCUGUGCCUCCGGUGGCUCCUCACUGAAAGAACCAACCAGAUGUUCCUGUCCUGUAAUUUUCAGAUCUGCCAACAUCUGUGCUCUUCUCCCUCCCCCGAAGGUAACUGUGCUUCCACAGCACACAGUGACAUUCAAAUCACCUGUGUGUCAACAGAUUCACAGCAUCCUGGGAGAUAAGCAGGAGGGUACAAGCACUCCCAUCAUACAGAGAAAGAAGCUGAGACUCGGAGAAGCCAUCAGACUUCUUCAGGGUCACAGAGCUGGAUGCAGAAAUCUCCGCAAGGAAAGAACCCACACUUUUCUGUCUUCUAAAAUAAAUAUUUCUGGCCAGGGAUUUAGUUCAGUGGUGCCACUGCCUGCCUCACAAGUGCAAAGUCCGGAGUUCCAUCCCUGGUACCAAAAAUAAAAAAUAAAAUAAAUAUUUCUGCUGGGACAUUUUUCUUAUGGCUUAUUUUAAUAAGAGGUUGGGUAUACUUCAUGUUCAAAUCUUACACCUAAAGUAUGGCAUUAUGGUAAAGGGAAG